rnacentral:rRNA from 1 species
AGAUAAUAGAUACCCGGGUAGUCCACGCCCUAAACGAUGCAUACUAGGUAUUGGCAGUAUCGACCCUGUCAGUGCCGUUUAGAAAAGCUAACGCGUUAAGUAUGCCGCCUGGGGAGUACGGCCGCAAGGCUAAAACUCAAAGGAAUAGACGGGGACCCGCACAAGCAGUGGAACAUGUGGUUUAAUUCGAUGGUAAACGGGGAACCUUACCUGGGCUCAACUACUAGCUGCAUCGGACCAGAAAUGGACCGAGCCUUCGAGGGUGCUAGAUAGGUGCUGCAUGGUUGCCGUCAGCUCGUGCCGUGAGGUGUACCAUUAAGUUGGGAAACGAGCGCAACCCUCGCCGUGUGUUAAAUGUACACGCGGGACCGCCCGGCCCUUAGUUCAGAAGAAAUUCUGAGUUGAGGGCCGGGAGGAAGGGGAGGACGACGUCAAAUCAGCAUGGCUCUUACGUCCAGGGCUACACACAUGUUACAAUGGCCGAUACAAUGGGUUGCCAAGCCGCGAGGCGGAGCUAAUCCCAUCAAAAUCGGCCUCAGUUCAGAUU